rnacentral:rRNA from 1 species
UGCUCCACCGGAAAAAGAGGAGUGGCGAACGGGUGAGUAACACGUGGGUAACCUGCCCAUCAGAAGGGGAUAACACUUGGAAACAGGUGCUAAUACCGUAUAACAAUCAAAACCGCAUGGUUUUGAUUUGAAAGGCGCUUUCGGGUGUCGCUGAUGGAUGGACCCGCGGUGCAUUAGCUAGUUGGUGAGGUAACGGCUCACCAAGGCCACGAUGCAUAGCCGACCUGAGAGGGUGAUCGGCCACAUUGGGACUGAGACACGGCCCAAACUCCUACGGGAGGCAGCAGUAGGGAAUCUUCGGCAAUGGACGAAAGUCUGACCGAGCAACGCCGCGUGAGUGAAGAAGGUUUUCGGAUCGUAAAACUCUGUUGUUAGAGAAGAACAAGG